rnacentral:rRNA from 1 species
UACGGAGGGUGCAAGCGUUAUCCGGAUUCACUGGGUUUAAAGGGUGCGUAGGCGGCGGCGCAAGUUGGGUGUGAAAUCCCUCGGCUCAACCGAGGAACUGCGCUCAAAACUGCGUCGCUUGAGGAAGAUAGAGGUGAGUGGAACUUAGGGUGGAGCGGUGAAAUGCGUUGAUAUCCUAAGGAACACCAGUGGCGAAAGCGACUCACUGGGUCUUCUCUGACGCUGAGGCACGAAAGCUAGGGUAGCGAACGGG